UCUCUCUCUCUCUCUCUCUCUCUCUCAAAUUUCCUCCAUUUUCCCUCUCUUCCAUCAAUCUCCAACAUCUUGAUCCUCCUCGGCCUCACACACCCCCAAUUCAAUUCAUUUAAAACCCUAAUUCAAGCAAGGUCCCUAUCCCAGAGGAUGCAAAAUCCAGCCCUAGGAGAAUCUCUGGCAAUUCCAUCUGAAUCUCGAACCAUUCCACCAAAUUUGACUUUAAUCAGAUCUUUGAAGAAGAUUGUAAGACUGCGGAAGUUUACAAAGCUCGAACCAAAGACGUUGUUGCAACUGUCCAUGGAUUUAAUGAUUUUAUGGGAAAUUGGAACAUCUAGGUACACUGGUUCUAGAACCACAUGGAUAAAGGUGCGGACCUCUGCCUUUAAAUCGUUGACCCAUUAUGACAUAGGGUUGGUAGCUCCCUUGUACUCAGCCACUUGAACAUCACACUUGAGCACAAUAAUCCAUUCAUUCUUUAUUAUGCCAAAAUCUCUUAAAUGAUUUAUCUACGUGUUGCCUUCCUUUUAGUUUUGUUGUAGUAUAGUCAUUUUAUUUUAUAAGCAUAUGUCAUUCAAGGUGACCUUUAAAGAGGAUGCUUAUGAAAGGGAAAACUUUCUGGCUACAAAAUAUCCUUACAGGCAUUAGAUAUAUAAUCUU